GAUGAACGCUGGCGGCGUGCCUAAUACAUGCAAGUCGAGCGAACAGACGAGGAGCUUGCUCCUCUGACGUUAGCGGCGGACGGGUGAGUAACACGUGGAUAACCUACCUAUAAGACUGGGAUAACUUCGGGAAACCGGAGCUAAUACCGGAUAAUAUGUUGAACCGCAUGGUUCAACAGUGAAAGACGGCUUUGCUGUCACUUAUAGAUGGUUCCGCGCCGCAUUAGCUAGUUGGUAAGGUAACGGCUUACCAAGGCGACGAUGCGUAGCCGACCUGAGAGGAUGAUCAGCCACACUGGAACUGAGACACGGUCCAGACUCCUACGGGAGGCAGCAGUAGGGAAUCUUCCGCAAUGGGCGAAAGCCUGACGGAGCAACGCCGCGUGAGUGAAGAAGGUCUUCGGAUCGUAAAACUCUGUUAUUGGGGAAGAACAGAUGUGUAAGUAACUAUGCACGUCUUGACGGUACCUAAUCAGAAAGCCACGGCUAACUACGUG
rnacentral:rRNA from 1 species